rnacentral:lncRNA from 1 species
AUAAACCCUAAUGUGAGAGAUGGAAGGGAUCUUGAGGAUCUUGAGUCAAACCGGGAACUCAACCCACAAGGUAAGUAAAUAUUCUAUAAAUCGGUCCAUCAACAAUUUAUACUCUUACCAUAAUAACUGGAUUUAAUAAUAUAUCGUACAUAUUUAUGAAGUGGUCCCAUAAUUAUCCAACAAUCUCCCACUGGACCACGAAUAUAUAAAUGUACGUAUAACUGUAUAAGCGCUUUAAUGAAUGUUAUUAUAACAUUGGUACCCUUAAACAAUCUCGUCCACUAAUCAUAAUAGUAUAGGAUCAAAGCGGCCUUCGUUACAAUUUACGUAACUAAACCUAUCAAUGGUCACAUAUACAUAUAUAACUAACGACAUAGAUUAAACAUGAUGUGUGGUUUUAAAAUCUAAAUAUAUUUACAACGAGUUCCUCUUGAGAUUGAAGUAAGAUCAAACUUCAAAUAAGUGCAAUUAAUAAUGGAGUUAACCGAAUUCUUAAUUCUGUACAGAAAAACAUAAUUAAUCUUAAACAAAACGUAAAGCACCAUAAAACUCCCACUAAAACCAAAUAUCACACCAACGUGUGUAGUAUGCUCAUGAAAGACCUAGGGAGGUAAUCCCUUUAUGAGCGGAUCCGCUUUCAUGGAGUUUGUUCAUAUGUGCUAUAUAUAUUUCCAUUUUGCACUAUUGUGUUAACAGAAGGAAACUUGAUGUCAAUAUGCUUUGACUUAAUAGAACUUCUGUUAUUGGAAUAUAACAUUGCUGAUUUAUUAUCACAACUUUAAUGGUCUUUCAAUACCAAUAAUGUGUAGCCUCGUGACAAAUUUCCGCAACCAUAUUCCACGCUAUAAAUUAUGAUGCCAUUAUGGAAGAUGCUACCGAAGUCUAUUCCAUGAAGUGGCUCAUCAUGCUAAAAUGUAAAAGUAUUCCAAUAUGGACAGGUAACCAUUUUGGCAUCUAAUAAAAUCAGAUUUUUAAUAAAAAUGAUCUCCAAAACAUCUGAUUUCCUAUAGUUGAGCAUAUAGCAUUUUGUUAUAUAUAGAUAUCUCAAAAUUCAUUUGGCUACUUUCUUAUGACCCAAACUUGGGUUGCAUAGAUAUCGACCCAAAACCAGAAAUACAAAUUUACUAUCAUUUACUGUAUUUACCCCAAAACCAAAAGAGAUAAUAAAUUGAUAAAAAAAAAUGGUACCGCGCAUAGGAUAUCCAAAGUUGAUGUUGUUGAGUNGUGUAUUCAAAAUAAGAGGUUUAAUAACAUUGUCGAUCACCGAUUCAUAAUUUGCAUACUAUUGAAAGCAAUAAUAGGAAUCAAGAUUGAUUCCUCCUUAAGGACAAUGUUUUAACCUUGUUUCUCACCUAAACUCAACAUCUUCAAAGAAUGUUGGUCUACCCAAAAAUGCAAGGUUAAUAUCCGUGAAAUUGAGAAUUAACAUAAUGCCAUCAUUCCAUUCCUUAAAGUUAAUAUCAUUGAGUACAUAAAUCAUAAAUGAGAUCAAUUUUAGCAGAUAUAAUACCAUAAUUCAAACAUAAGCAAAUCUAUUUUUAUGCUCAUUAAUCUAUAAACCGUAAUCAAUAAAUUCAAUUUAUUACAUCUCUACAAGGUAUCGACACAACAUUAACAUCAAGUCUUUGGACAGUGAUACUAAUUUACAAGAGAUAACCUUGUUUUAGAGAUAAACAUCAACAAUAAAUCAUGUCAAUUAACGAGCCCCUCUUUGGAUUGACUUAUUAAUCACAUGGAACCAAAUAAUCGCCACAUGUUUAUCACUACAUAUAUGUUUAUUUGGCUAAAUGUCAGUCUACCUUUGGGUCGGCUGAUACCCGCAUUAAUGAAACACAUAAACUAUAAAUUUUAAUAAUAAGAAUUGACAAUAUAUCAUGUCAAUUAAUAAACCCGUCUUUGAAUUGAUUUAUUAAUGACAUGUAACUUAAAAAAUUGUCGCAUAUUUAUCAUCAAACAUGUGUUCAUCCGGCCAAAUAUUAAUCCACCUUUGGGUCGAUUAAUAUUCGCAUUAAUAAACACAAACCAUAAAAUUUAAGUUCUUAGAAAAUUAAUUUUCACAAAAUGGAUCACUUUGGCGAUACAUUAUGUCAAUAAACUUUCUAUAAAAAAUGAUAAAUAAAAUAAAAUAAUAAUAUCAUAACUGAAUUUAUUGACAACCCACAAAGUAAUAUUUCAUCGUAAAGGAAAAUUAAAUUACAUACUUUUCCUUUUGCUAAAUUAAUCCAUAAGAUGACCAUACUGAACAAAUUUAUUCUAAUACCGCAUUAAAUGAUUUCAUUAUUACCAUAAUUUAACAUAGGACCAGAUUGAAACAAAUAAUACAAAAUAAAACCAAAGGCACUAAAUUAACAAAGACAAUAUGUCAAUCUGCUUGGAAACUUUUAAAUGUGGUAUAAUUUAAUAAUACAAAAUAAAACCAAAGGCAGUAAGAAGAACUAUAGCCAUUUGGAUUGAAAAGCAAAUAUAGUGAGCCGUCACAAUUCAAAAGUUUUCUUUAUUACAUUUAUAUGUAGCGUAAUGCACCAAGUAAAGUAAAAAGAAACCAGAAAACCCUCCGCUUAGUUUUCAACGAGGUUAACAAGAAAAGGUUUUCAAAUAAUAACUAGUCGUUCAACAAACAUGUAUGUUAUAAUCAAAAUAGUAACCCAAAAUUUCUAUUAACAGAUUCAAGGAGGCUCUGAUACCAAUUGUUGGUUAUUUUCAUAUAACCAAAACAUAAAACGCGGAAGCAUAAACAUUGGAUCUUUAAUCUCGAAUCUGAUUAAAAGAAAACUUAGACAUGAAAGAACGAUUACAUACCUGAUUUCAUUAUAAUCUUCGGAUUUGAAGAACUAGGGUUGAGUUUUCCAGUUGAUCUCAAGAGCUCUCUUUAAAAUCCCUCAGCAAACCCUAAACGAAUUUACAUUUGUAUUGAUUUGCUCCUCAUCACAUAUAUUUAUAGAUGGAGAUAAACCCUAAUGUGAGAGAUGGAAGGGAUCUUGAGGAUCUUGAGUCAAAUCGGGAACUCAACCCACAAGGUAAGUAAAUAUUCUAUAAAUCGGUCCAUCAACAAUUUAUACUCUUACCAUAAUAUCUGGAUUUAAUAAUAUAUCGUACAUAUUUAUGAAGUGGUCCCAUAAUUAUCCAACAAGACCCAACUUGGAUGUAGCAUGUUGAUGUUGAGUUCCAUUGAGAGAUUUAAUCAUGACAUCAGCUAGUUGAUGUUGAGUAGGAGCAUUUGAUAAGGAAAUCAACCCAGAAUGUAACUUUUCUCGAACAUAAUGGCAGUCGAGCUUAAUAUGUUUAAUUCUCUCAUGAUUAUCGGGUUGUUUGCAAUGUAUAUCGCCGCCUGAUUAUCACACUUCAAUGGAAUAAGAGUGAUGCAUGUAACUUCAAAUUCCACGAACAGAUGACUAAGCCAUGCAUGCAAGUUCUACACAUACACAUCACAUGGAUCUAUAACCUCCUUCUGCAGAAGAUAAAGAUAAAGAUACGAUAACUUGUUUCUUGGAUUUCCAAGAAAUUGGACUUCCACCAAAGAAUAUAUAUGAAGUACACACUUAUUGAAGGUCUUGUAAGAGGACAUGUGACCCAACCUGAGUCACAAUAGGCUUUCUAUGUUUUAUUAGGAACUUUUGUUGAAGUGAAGACCUUGAGUAACCGACUCCUUAAGAAGAUAUUUAAGUACAUGAAGAGAAGCAUCAUAAUGUGCUUGACAAGGAGUUUGAUUGAAUUGACUUAGAUAUUCAAAAAAAAAAAAAAACAAAAAGCAAUUUCAGGUCUAGUAUACAACAAAAAAUUCAAAUUUCCAACCAACUGUCUAUACUUAGAUGGAUCUCGUAACGGAUUGUCCAGAACAUGUGUCAAGUGAAGUUUUGAAGGAAGAGGCAUCUUUGCAUUAGUAGCAUCCAUCAUAGAGUAUGAAUGUAACAGUUCUUUGAUAAAUCUUUGUUCACACUGUUGACUUUGGUGAACUCAAGUCCAAGAAAAAGAUUAAUGUGGCCUAAAUCUUUUAUUUGAAACUCAACAUGUAAUGAGGAUUUGAUAUUUACUAUUUCAUCAAGAUCAUUUCUCGUGACAAGAAUAUCGUCAACAUAAACAACAAUAACAACAAUGGAAGUAGAACUUUUCUUCAUGAAAAUUGAAUAAUCAUUUUUAAAUC